rnacentral:tRNA from 1 species
GGAUUGUGGCUCAGCCAGCGGUAGAGCGCUCGCCUAGCACGGGUGGGACCUGGGUUCAAUCCUCAGCACCA